CUCCAUAUAUAAAGUAUUUUACUUUUAUUAGAAAAA
rnacentral:tRNA from 1 species